GUGCUCGCUUCAGCAGCACAUAGACUAAAAUCGGAACGAUACAGAGAAGAUGAGCACGGCCCCUGCACAAGGAUGACACAAAAAUUCGUGGAGCAGUCCAUAUGUUU
ensembl:snRNA U6 U6 spliceosomal RNA